AGCGCAAUGGAAGGCGCGUCGAACCGCGUGGACUAGAGAGUACGCAGUACGAUUACAAAAGAGCACCAGAUUCCUAAUCUGGGGGUCACGCGUUCGAAUCGCGUCGGGAUCACCA
rnacentral:tRNA from 1 species